UGUCAUUCGAUGCUUUCCACAACACACUUUUAAAGAUACUCCCAUCCUGCUGUUUGCACUAACUGUUCACCGACAAACUGCUGCCGCUACUUCGCCGAGGUCUCCAUAGCAACACCUUGUCAUCUGUUUAAAGUGACUCUGUGUAGCAGAAAUGUCACUUAGAAAUACGUCCUCAGUCCCCAUCACAGGGUGAAGGAGCAAUUUACUUCACUCCCUAAUCCAUCCUUUUUUUUUCUUUUUUUUUUUUACACCUGCAUUACUUAACGGAAAGCCGGGAAUCCAUUCCCAACCACUAAAACCUUUGAUUUGCUGUUACGUUCAAACCAGAAUUGUGUGAACUCCAUUUAUUGGACUUCCAGUCAUGGUUUGGCGAUCGAGAAAACCUUCUUUGAAAUUCACACCGGUCAAAGGAAUGGAUGAGUGGUACAGAGACAGCUGAUCCGGCCAAUCUGCAUAAGCAGUCAAUAAGUUGCAACACUUUGGAUCUUCUGGAAGACGGAGGAGAUCGAUGCGUCGCUGCAAACAAGUGGAGGAGCAACACUGGACGGAGAUGAAAGCCAGAGGAGCGAGGAGGAGCGUCUGGGAUGUGGAAGGAGCGCCUCACACAGAGUCAGCCUCCAGGGACUGUGGACGAGCCUUCAUAAGGCUGGGUGGGGCUGUGGGGGAGCUGCAAUCAAAAAUGCUGAAGGUGAACCAGCUCCACUAUACAGCAAAAUAUACUACUUCACCAACCUGCUGGACAAGAGUGACGUGGACAAUGUGUGGAGAGAAGAUUGUCGUCAUGGCGAUGAGCGGUUAACUACAUGUUGACUGUCUGCAGCACUCCAGUGACGACUGUCAGAAAGAGUGAAAUAAAGCACUCUCCUUUACCCUGUAAUGCUACUUCAUCCCACUUAAAUGUUAAUAAGAAAAAAUGGAAGCAC